rnacentral:rRNA from 1 species
UACGUAGGGGGCAAGCGUUGUUCGGAAUUACUGGGCGUAAAGGGCGCGUAGGCGGCUUAUCAAGUCAGGCGUGAAAUUCCCGGGCUCAACCUGGGGGCUGCGCUUGAUACUGAUGAGCUUGAAUGCGGGAGAGGAUAGUGGAAUUCCCAGUGUUGAGGUGAAAUUCGUAGAUAUUGGGAAGAACACCGGUGGCGAAGGCGGCUAUCUGGCCCGUAAUUGACGCUGAGGCGCGAAAGCGUGGGGAGCAAACAGG